AAAAGGCCGGGAUAGCUCAGUUGGUAGAGCAGGGACUGGC
rnacentral:tRNA from 1 species